UACGUAGGGUGCGAGCGUUGUCCGGAAUUAUUGGGCGUAAAGAGCUCGUAGGCGGCUUGUCACGUCGGGUGUGAAAGCCCGGGGCUUAACCCCGGGUCUGCAUUCGAUACGGGCUGGCUGGAGUGUGGUAGGGGAGAUCGGAAUUCCUGGUGUAGCGGUGAAAUGCGCAGAUAUCAGGAGGAACACCGGUGGCGAAGGCGGAUCUCUGGGCCAUUACUGACGCUGAGGAGCGAAAGCGUGGGGAGCGAACAGG
rnacentral:rRNA from 1 species